rnacentral:rRNA from 1 species
UACGUAGGUGGCAAGCGUUGUCCGGAUUUACUGGGCGUAAAGAGCGCGCAGGCGGUCGUUCAAGUCGAGUGUGAAAGCCCCCCGGCUCAACUGGGGAGGGUCACUCGAUACUGAUCGACUCGAAGGCAGGAGAGGGUAGUGGAAUUUACGGUGUAGCGGUGAAAUGCGUAGAUAUCGUAAGGAAGACCAGUGGCGAAGGCGGGUCGUCUGGACAGUUCCUGACGCUGAGGCACGAAGGCCAGGGGAGCAAACGGGA